ensembl:lincRNA
UAAAAGUCCAUUAAAAACGGUGCCAUGUAAUAUUUUAAAGUUGUUUUCAUAGACAUAAUUUAUAGUAGGAAACCCAUAUUCCUAUGAUGUUCUAAGACAAUCUUUAAUUUCUGAUUAUACCUGGCAAUUUACAGAGUAUGCUAGAACAUUGCUAACUUCUGCAGUUGAGUGCACAGCUGGCUAAGGUGCUGGUGUUCAAGUACAGAACUAAUGGUCAGCUUGGGGUUGUCAGAUCUAAUGUUGCCCUGUCUCUCAAAUGCUGCAGACUUUUGUAUGCUAAGCUUCUUAUGUUAUCUCUGUUUUAAACAGAUGGCCGAGUAAAAAUUUGGGUUUAUGGCGUUUCAGGUGGCGCUUUUCUUAUCAUGAUUUUCCUAGUAUUUACUUCCUACCUUGUUUGCAAGAAGCCAAAACCACAUCAAAGCACACCUCCCCAACAGAAGCCUCUGACCUUAGCCUACGAUGGAGACUUAGACAUGUAACCUGAAAAAGAAAUCCAAAUGUAGACAUCAACUGCCUUAACCGCUUUCUCUUUUGUAGCUCUCAGACUUCUCAGUUUUUUGAGGAAUCUCAUGAUGUGAUAUAUUGGGCAGAAUACAAAUAUUGCAAAAGUAAUAUUGCCUCAACUUCAUUUGGACAUGGAGUCAAGGAUUAUUAGGUCUGCCAUUUUGUUUUCAAGUUGUUUGUGGGUGUGAGUGUUUUAUUUUUUGGUUUUCCCAAGGGACCUGAAAACCCUUCUCUUCCUGUUUGGAACUGGGAGGAAGAAAACAUGAUGGAAUUCCCACAGACUUGAGUAAACUUGAUCUUCAGCAGCAUAAUGACAAUCCAGAGGAAAGUCCAAUCAAGGCAUUUACUGUAAAUGACGAGUCUGACACUGCAUUGUUACGCACUAUAUUAGUGCAAAGUCUUUAUUCUUCCCAUACAUCAACACUGAGUUUUCUAAAGUUUACAUUGGUUUAAAGACUUUCAAAUUGGAUUGCCUAUUUUCAUGAACACAGAGAGAAUGGAUUACCAUUUCAGAAAUUCUCUGAGUUUUUAACCUUUAAAUAUUGUAUUUUGUUUUGUAGCCAGGGGAUGAUGGCACUUCAUGGUUUGCAGCUACUGAAAAUAGCAGAGUGUGUGUUAAUUGCUGGACUAGAUGAAAGCUAGGUCAUUUCUGAAGGGAAUGUGUACUGAAUGUUAGAGUGUACAAAUGAAAUAUGUGGUCAAAUUGGAGAAUGAGGUAGAUUAUUUGAUUACUAAAACUGUAUUUUAACAAAAACUUAUCCAUGUAGAUAUAGCAUUAACCACACACAGUUGUAAUUCAGUUUAAUGAUGACAAACUCUGCUUUUGUAAUUUCAAUUUUCUUAUCUGAAUAUUUAUAAAUUCUUUUUUCAAAUUUAAUUAUCUGACCUCAUUUAAUAUACAUCAAACACCAAUCCUGUUUGUAGAAAGUCUUGCUUUUAUAAGGUUUCAAUAAUAUCUAAAACAACACAUUAAAAAGCUGAGACCAUUUUAUGAAGAUAAUUGUUUGUAAUCAUAGGUGUUGAAAGUAAAAA